rnacentral:rRNA from 1 species
UACGGAGGGUGCAAGCGUUAAUCGGAAUUACUGGGCGUAAAGCGUGCGCAGGCGGUUUGUUAAGUCUGCUGUGAAAUCCCCGAGCUCAACUUGGGAAUUGCAGUGGAUACUGGCAAGCUGGAGUACGGUAGAGGAAGGUGGAAUUCCCGGUGUAGCAGUGAAAUGCGCAGAUAUCAGGAGGAACACCAAUGGCGAAGGCAGCUCGCUGGGACGGUAUUGACGCUGAGACGCGAAAGCGUGGGGAGCAAACAGG